CGUCAGCAGCAACGAUAAACUGAUAAUGGGAUAGAGCCUAGAGGAGAGGACUGGGCAAGCAGAACUCACCUGGUGCGGAGAGCGGCAAACGAUGGCGGGAAGUUUGCUCCCUUUGAAAAGCUUUUCUCCGAUGGCCAUGGCUAUUGCCGAGACUGAACUUCCGCUUCAACUGCCACAGAAUGUUCGCAAUUCCAGGGUUUUGGUGCUGGGAGGCACCGGCCGGGUCGGCGGCUCCACCGCCAUUGCUCUCUCCAGAUUCUGUCCCGACCUUCAGAUCGUCAUUGGUGGUCGCAACAGGGAAAAGGGCGCAGCUAUGGUUGCGACGCUCGGUGGAAACUCUCGCUUUGUUGAAGUCGAUGUUGAGAAUGUAAAAUCGUUGGAGGCUGCUUUGAGAGAUGUGGAUCUUGUAGUUCACACGGCCGGUCCUUUCCAACAGACAAAGAAAUGCACUGUACUUGAAGCUUCCAUAGAUACCAAGACAGCCUAUGUUGACGUUUGCGAUGAUACAAACUAUUCGUGGAACGCAAAAGCUUUAAAGAAUAAAGCUAUAGAUGCAAAUAUUCCAGCUAUUACAACUGCUGGCAUUUAUCCUGGAGUGAGCAAUGUAAUGGCAGCAGAGCUUGUGCGUGCUGCAAGAGAUGAAAGCAAGGCUGAGCCCGAGAGGCUAAGAUUCUACUACUACACUGCAGGCACUGGUGGUGCUGGUCCAACUAUAUUAGCUACUAGUUUCUUACUGCUGGGAGAGGAGGUAGUCGCCUAUAAUAAAGGGGAAAAGCUCAAACUCAAACCUUAUAGUGGCAUGCUCAACAUUGACUUUGGAAUAGGAAUUGGAAAGAGAGAUGUAUUUCUGCUGAAUUUGCCAGAGGUAAGCACUGCACAUGAGAUCCUGAGAGUGCCGACAGUCAGUGCUCGUUUUGGUACUGCUCCUUUUUUUUGGAAUUGGGGAAUGUUAGCCUUGACAAAUUUUUUACCUCUGGAAUAUUUUAGAGAUAGAAGCAAAGUUCAAAAAUUGGUCCAAUUGUUUGAUCCUUUUGUUCGGGCAUUAGAUGGCCUUGCUGGAGAACGUGUAUCCAUGAGGGUUGAUUUGGAGUGUUCGAAUGGGCGUAACACACUGGGUAUUUUCAGUCAUCGGAGGCUCUCCCAAUCAGUGGGAAACGCGACAGCUGCAUUUGCUCUUGCUGUUCUCGAGGGAAGCACACAGCCUGGAGUUUGGUUUCCAGAAGAGCCCGAAGGAAUAGCAGUUGAAGCCAGGGAAGUUCUUCUAAAACGCGCUGCCCAAGGAACAAUCAAUUUUGUGAUGAACAAGCCUCCAUGGAUGGUUGAAACAGAGCCCAAAGAACUUGGUUUAGGAAUAUAUGUGUGAUAUUUCUCCAUGACACUAAAUCUUUCUUUUGUCAACUUCCUGGUGUUGCAAGAGGUGCUGGAAGUAGUUGAUUUAUGAAGAAUGCCCUUUUUUUUGUCUGAUUCUGAUUCUGAUUAGAUCAGAUUAGCUCGUGGAUAGCAGAUGACGAGAAGGAAUUUCAUGUAAUUUAUGUAGAGAUUUAAGAAACUUUUUACUUAUGCUGGAGGUUUUGCUUUUAGAAAAUUGUUUUUGUUUUCAACAAUGAAAACGGAAACUAUUUGGACGUUGAAAAAACUCGUUCUUUCACCUUUUACAGUAAAAAUUCAUUAA